rnacentral:lncRNA from 1 species
AAAAAAGAAAAGAAAAAAAGAUCACAACUUGGUUUAGACAUUUCUUUGAACAUGUUGGUUGCAACUCAUAAACCAUUUAUUUUAACAAUAUUAAAAACCUUUCUUAGCUUAGAAUUAGAGAAGAGAAGAUUAUAUUACAAAUCAAAUAGUUGAUUUUAUAUAUUUAUCAACAUAAGUUCAUUACAAGUAGACCACUUUGGUAAACUAAAUGAACAUAAGAAAUCCACAUUCAUCAGAGAUGGUCAAGAAAAGCAACUGUCCAAUGUGAAGAAUCUGCCACGUACAGGAAAUAUGAAAACUAAAAUUCAACUAAAAAUAGAAGUGAAAACAAGAACAGGCAAAUCUUAAAAGUUAAUAUUGUGUUUGGACUAACCAUCCCAAAAAAAAAAAAACAAUCAUGCAGUGGGAGGAGUUUGUUGGAGGUUUAAGUCGUCGGCGGCCGAAGGUCUACAUCUCUGGUUAUAGGAGUUGAGUGAUUGUCAGAAAGAAAAUGCCACUGAGAGAAAAGGGUGUGGACUUACCUGAGUUAAAAAACUAACAAACAAGUCUUGAGUUAAAAGAGUUGAAAGAACAAAAGAGAAAAAGAAAAAACAGGAAAAUAUGUUGUUCUUCG